rnacentral:tRNA from 1 species
AAUAUUUUAGUUUAAAUAAAAUAUUUUAUUUACAAUAAAAAGAUUUAAUAAUUAAAAAUAUUG